rnacentral:rRNA from 1 species
UACGUAGGGUGCAGGCGUUAAUCGGAAUUACUGGGCGUAAAGCGUGCGCAGGCGGUUUGCUAAGACAGGUGUGAAAUCCCCGGGCUUAACCUGGGAACUGCGCUUGUUACUGGCAGGCUUGAGUGUGGCAGAGGGGGGUGGAAUUCCCGGUGUAGCGGUGAAAUGCGUAGAUAUCGGGAGGAACAUCAGUGGCGAAGGCGGCUGCCUGGCCCAAUACUGACACUCAGGUGCGACAGCGUGGGGAGCAAACAGG